UACGUAGGAGGCAAGCGUUGUCCGGAGUUACUGGCGUAAAGCGCACGCAGGCGGUCGUGUCAGUCUGGGGUGACAGUUCCCGGCUUAACCGGAAAAGGACUCUGGAAACUGCAACGACUUGAGGGCUUCAGAGGGGAUGUGGAAUUCCAGGUGGAGGUGGAUGAAAUGGCGUAGAGAAUCUGGAAGAACACCAAAGGCGAAAGG
rnacentral:rRNA from 1 species